CGCGGUAUCCUAACCGUGCAAAGGUAGCGCAAUCCCUUGCCCCCUAAUUAGGGGCUGGUAUGAACGGCACCAUGAGGGCUCAACUGUCUCCUGAGACCAAGUAAUGAAAUUGAAAAUCCAGUACAAAUGCUGGAAUAUUAACAUAAGACGAGAAGACCCUGUGGAACUUCAACUAUUAUACUAGCACAAAAUAAACUCACCACUAUCCCCUAGUAAAACUUUCAGUUGGGGCAACUAUGGAGCAAAACAAAACCUCCACAAACAACGAUUAAUCACCGCACCCAAGGCCCGCACGCCGCCCAUACAAUAUCUGACCCGGCACAGCCGAUUAAUGAACCAAGCUACCCCAGGGAUAACAGCGCCAUCUCCUUCAAGAGUCCCUAUCGCCAAGGAGGUUUACGACCUCGAUGUUGGAUCAGGACCCCCCGGUGGUGUAGCCGCUACCAAAGGCUCGUUUGUUCAACGAAUAAUGUCCU
rnacentral:rRNA from 1 species